UUACGGCCACAUCACGUUGAUACACCGGUUCCCGUACAUCACCGAAGUUAAGCAACGUCGAGCCUGAUUAAUAACUAGAUGGGUUACCGCUUGGGAACACUAG